UACGUAGGGUGCGAGCGUUAAUCGGAAUUACUGGGCGUAAAGCGUGCGCAGGCGGCUUUGCAAGACAGAUGUGAAAUCCCCGGGCUCAACCUGGGAACUGCAUUUGUGACUGCAAGGCUAGAGUACAGCAGAGGGGGAUGGAAUUCCGCGUGUAGCAGUGAAAUGCGUAGAUAUGCGGAGGAACACCAAUGGCGAAGGCAAUCCCCUGGGCCUGUACUGACGCUCAUGCACGAAAGCGUGGGGAGCAAACAGG
rnacentral:rRNA from 1 species